rnacentral:rRNA from 1 species
AUUGAACGCUGGCGGCAGGCCUAACACAUGCAAGUCGAGCGGAUGAAGAGAGCUUGCUCUCUGAUUCAGCGGCGGACGGGUGAGUAAUGCCUAGGAAUCUGCCUGGUAGUGGGGGACAACGUUUCGAAAGGAACGCUAAUACCGCAUACGUCCUACGGGAGAAAGUGGGGGAUCUUCGGACCUCACGCUAUCAGAUGAGCCUAGGUACGAUUAGCUAGUUGGUGAGGUAAAGGCUCACCAAGGCGACGAUCGUUAACUGGUCUGAGAGGAUGAUCAGUCACACUGGAACUGAGACACGGUCCAGACUCCUACGGGAGGCAGCAGUGGGGAAUAUUGGACAAUGGGCGAAAGCCUGAUCCAGCCAUGCCGCGUGCGUGAAGAAGGUCUUCGGAUUGUAAGGCACUUUAAGUUGGGAGGAAGGGCAGUAAGUUAAUACCUUGCUGUUUUGACGUUACCGACAGAAUAAGCACCGGCUAACUUCGUGCCAGCAGCCGCCGUAA